ensembl:lncRNA
CUAAAUGUUACUUCCUACAAUACAUUGCUUCUACAUUAGUUUACUUUUUUUAUUAUUUUACUAAUAUCUUACUCAAAAGCCAUGGACAGAGGUUUGCAUACUGGACUAAUGAGGCCAGAGCAUUGCUCCAAGGUUCACUGCAGCCGAUAUACAGGGUCCCAAAGGUCAGCAAGAGGGAACAUGAGGUUUCGAUUAGAAAUGGAUGACAGGUGCAUCAUAUUGGAGUUACCAACAUGUGUGCUUUCUGUAAUCCUAAAUGAAGUGGUACUACAGGAAGGAGAUAAGGCAUACUUAAGAUUGGCUCUUGUGUGUCCACUGACUCCUUCAGGAGACGGGCACAUUUUCAGUGGCUUGACAGUGUCGCUACAUGGAGCAGGUUUUCUGAGUCCUAAAGAAAAUAAUUCUACACCAUGUACUCCGUGGACACCUGUCGUGAAUGUGGAAUGCUUUUCAAAAACUGCACACCUGGAUAUGUUAGAACAGGACAAAGGUGUGUACUUGAAGCAGUUUACUCAGAAGACCCACAUCCAGGUUACUGCGAUCACUUUUGCCGCCAAAUGCAAUAGUGAGAACGGACACGUAUACUAACUGUUGGCAGACAACCCUGAGCCAGCUGGGUGUUUUUCAAGCUGCAGGCCCCCGUGAAAAUUUGUGGCUGGAAACUUGGGAUUGAAUUUUGAAUUCUCCAGUGUUAUUACAGACUGUUAAUUAAUUGGUUAUG